CUUACGUCUGCCUGGGUCCAGCGCUCUUUCCACUACACCAAGCUGCCAAUAGAAAAAAAGAAGACAGUAUCGACCUCACCGGGAUUAAAUGUGAUAAUGGGAAGGAGAUAGUGGAUUAUGGACCCUCUCCAGGUGGUGGUCAGAGGAUAUCAGACCAGCCAAAACGAAUCUGUGGUGAUUGAAGGCAAGUGGCCACUUUUGGAGAAGAAGGCCGGAACACAGUUAGUGUGACUGGAACAGACUAAGAAAAGCUUUUGGAGUGCUGUGAAUUAUCUGUUUCUUGAUCCAGUGGGAGUGGUACUACUAUGUUUACUUUUUGUGUAUAUUCUACUUCGAUAAAAAUCUUUUUAUAAAAAUCGUAGGCAGGUUUUCAAAAAGGAAGCAGGCAAAGAAGACCGUGGACUAUGAACAUCCUCUGCCACCAGGUAUGUUUCUCACGUGAACGCGCAUGAUCGUACUUGAUUGUACUUGCUCGUACACGAUCGAGGGCGCUCGGUCCGUGUGAUCAUCUCCAAAAUUGGGUGAAGGCUGAAGGCUGAAGGCUGGGGGAGAGUAAUCUGCAUAUUCCUGCCCUUGGCCUAGAGACGAAUGUAGGGAAGGGGGUAGUCGCGACACGGAAGUAAAGAUAAAGUUGAACGCGCAUGCUCGGGAGAGUAGAACUCGUGUGAAGCGGUGUGGAAGCAGCGAGGGGGGACCCAGAACUCUCGCAUCUCCAUUCUGAAACCACCAUCUGACGCCACGCCCCUCAGAAGCACCCACGUUAGUCACCACAGCUGACACCCCCAGCCACAUCUGGAACACCCCGGCUAAUCACUGCCCACGACCGCCUACACCUGUCUUCCCCGCACGCCAGCCCCUGCCACCUGCCUGCCUGCCACUUUGAGUCCUCACGCUAAAUCAAUAACAAAGACCUCCGAGGGCUGCCAGGCUUCUCUGCUGGUGCCCCCUCCCCUUAAGCCCACGUCCCCUCCUCCUUUCUCUCAGCCCGAUCCAUCUGCCCAAGCUCAGAUCUGCUCUGGCAGGACUGGCAGGCCGGCUCUCCCCUUGCAGACAGCGUGGCUCAGCCUGGCGUUAGCAGCUGCCGACGCUGCAGUUUAAGAAUCACCGCGUCUGGGGAAAGUCCAUUAAAAGACAGUAACAAUGUAUAUUGUGCUGUGACCCUGGGGGCACCCAAUUCCACCUUGUUAAUGAUCUCUUUGAAAUAGCCAAGGCUAUGGAGAGAGACGUGGUUCAGAGGUCACUGGCGCCCUGUUGUUAGGACACGGCUAUGUUUGGGCAACUUUCAGGAAUCACUCUCAUGCUAAUGGGGGCAGGUCCUCAGAGACCCACUCAGACAAUUAAAAUGUUCUUCAGGAGUGUGCUAAACAUCCAGUCCCCUGGGCAGAUCUGUGCAUAUCCGGCCUGGCAAGGAGAAAGCUGAAGAGCUGGCCAUCCACCCCACGUUGAGGAAUGAAUGUGUCAGCGGCAAGGCUCAUGCUUGUUUCCACCCCCGCCCCCUGACUAAGCCAGGAUACUUGGACAAAAGCUACAUACCCCAGACAGCCCCCACUGCCUCUACAGAGGUCGUGCACCAGGCCCUGCAAUCCUGCUGUGACUCUGCCCAUCGCUUUCCCGCUAAGAGCAAACGGAAAUGCCGGGUGCGGUGCAAGAGACAUUAUGAUAAGCUAAGCUCUCUUUCAGAUCUUCUCUCUUUCUCAAAUAAAAGCUUCUCGGACUUGA